CGUAAAUUGUAAUCCGCGGCAAUAUAGCAAACUACUCGAUCUGCGCUUUGCAGCCGCUAUUUAUACUCUCCCCGGCUCAAGACUGCGCCAUCUUCUCCUCCAUGGGAUAUAGCACAGCCAUCUGAAGUCUUUUUGUCUCCAUUUUAAGAUAGACACCAUCUGAACUUGAACUCGGAGUCAGUGACCAGCAUGAGUGAUCGCAGGUAUGGGUACUCGUACCCGCAAAACCAAGGGUACUACAACGGACCGCCGGUGAUGGCGCCGCCGCAGUACGCCCCGCCACCGAGACGGCAGACGGGCUUCCUCGAAGGAUGCCUUGCCGCUCUGUGCUGCUGCUGCCUCGUCGACGAGUGCUGCUGCGACCCAUCCAUCAUAUUCGUCACCUGACCUCGCGCCAGAUGGCGACUGACCAGCGAUCCGGCCUGAGCUAUAUGCCUAUACAUGUGUACUGUGUUACAUGAAUGAGUGAGUAUAUGUGUGUUUGUCUUUCGUUGUUGUACGUUUGAGCCUAUGUAUGCAUCACAGUAGAGAAACAGCCAAGCCACGGCAGUUGCGCACAGGGUCUCCAGGACGACGAAGAACUAGACAGAUGCUCACCAGCUCGUGGCCUGAUCCGGCAGUAGGUGGUGUUGUUGACUGAUUGCACUACACAUAUACAUAAGCUGUGCACUAUAGCUAGUUGCGUAGUCUCUAAUCUGCAAUUAUGAAUACACAGGACGAUAAGUCUGUAUAUA